rnacentral:rRNA from 1 species
GGCGGACGGCUGAGUAACGCGUAGGAACGUACCCCAAAGUGAGGGAUAAGCACCGGAAACGGUGUCUAAUACCGCAUAUGGUCUUCGGAUUAAAGCAGCAAUGCGCUAUGGGAACGGCCUGCGUCGGAUUAGCUAGUUGGUGAGGUAAUGGCUCACCAAGGCAACGAUCCGUAGCUGGUCUGAGAGGAUGAUCAGCCAGACUGGAACUGAGACACGGUCCAGACUCCUACGGGAGGCAGCAGUUAGGAAUCUUCCACAAUGGGGGCAACCCUGAUGGAGCAACACCGCGUGCUGGAUGAAGGCCUUCGGGUCGUAAACAGCUUUUGUAUACGAAGAAUAUGACGGUAAUAUACGAAUAAGGGUCGGCUAACUACGUGCCAGCAGCCGCGGUCAUACGUAGGACCCAAGCGUUAUCCGGAGUGACUGGGCGUAAAGAGUUGCGUAGGCGGCUUAUUAAGCGAGUAGUGAAAUCUGGUGGCUCAACCAUCAACACAUUGCUCGAACUGAUAGGCUUGAGAAUGGUAGAGGUAGUUGGAAUUUCUUGUGUAGGAGUGAAAUCCGUAGAUAUAAGAAGGAACACCAGUGGCGUAGGCAGACUACUGAACCAUUUCUGACGCUGAGGCACGAAAGCGUGGGGAGCGAACCGGAUUAGAUACCCGGGUAGUCCACGCCGUAAACGAUGGAUGCUAGCUGUGGGGGGGUAUCGACCCCCUCCGUAGCGAAGCUAACGCGUUAAGCAUCCCGCCUGUGGAGUACGGCCGCAAGGCUAAAACUGAAAGGAAUUGA